GAUGAAGAACGCAGCGAAAUGCGAUAAGUAAUGUGAAUUGCAGAAUUCAGUGAAUCAUCGAAUCUUUGAACGCACCUUGCACCCUUUGGCAUUCCGAAGGGUAUGCUCGUUUGAGUGUCAUUGUACUCUCACACUUCCGAUCUUUGGAUUGGGAGCGGUGGACUUGGGUGUUGCUGCUUACUGUGGCUCACCUCAAAUCGAUUCGUGCACCUCUUGGUUGGACAUAGUACGGCGUGAUAAGUGUCUUCGCCGGCACCUCAGUAGAGGGUGGCUGAUCGGGAGCUAUGCUUCAAACCGUCCUCGGACAACAACUGACAACUUGACCUCAAAUCGAGUAGGACUACCCGCUGAACUUAAGCAUAUCAAUAAGCGGAGGA
rnacentral:misc_RNA from 1 species